rnacentral:rRNA from 1 species
CCUACGGGAGGCAGCAGUGAGGAAUAUUGGUCAAUGGGCGAGAGCCUGAACCAGCCAAGUCGCGUGAGGGAAGACGGUCCUAUGGAUUGUAAACCUCUUUUGCCGGGGAGCAAAACGCGGUACGUGUACCGCAUCGAGAGUACCCGGAGAAAAAGCAUCGGCUAACUCCGUGCCAGCAGCCGCGGUAAUACGGAGGAUGCGAGCGUUAUCCGGAUUUAUUGGGUUUAAAGGGUGCGCAGGCGGCGAGUUAAGUCAGCGGUAAAAUUUCGGGGCUCAACCCCGACAAGCCGUUGAAACUGGCGUGCUAGAGUGGGCGAGAAGUAUGCGGAAUGCGUGGUGUAGCGGUGAAAUGCAUAGAUAUCACGCAGAACUCCGAUUGCGAAGGCAGCAUACCGGCGCCCAACUGACGCUCAGGCACGAAAGCGUGGGUAUCGAACAGGAUUAGAUACCCCGGUAGUC